GGGUGGUGAUCAGUCACUCACCCCACCCAGCAGCUACUUAAUAGUCACAGGCUCUGUCCCACUGAGGGGUAUCAGCCCUUCCUGUUGUCCCCACAGGAAGUGCCAUCUAUAACCCCUGCAACAGGGCGGGUCAGGUCCUCAUGGGACUCCAGGCUGUCCUGGAAGCUGGAGCACAGGAAGUUGGGGGUGCAUGAAUGUCGGUUGCAACCAGAUGCCCUUCUGUGGGGCCAGAUCUACUCACCUACUGACACAGUAGAACGCGAUCAGUCUGAAGAUGUCCUCAAACACAAGAACCGAGCCUUCCAGGAGCCCAGAGGGACACCUCAGACCUGAGGGAGUCCCGACAGACAGCUUCACGUCAUCCUGGAGCACGGGCUAAUGCAAAUGGGAUUCAGCUCUACAUCUACCUUCCGGCCCAAAACCUUUCCCGAGUGUUCCGACCUCCCCCGGGGAAAGCUGCACACAGGAGGGACUAUGCAAACCACACAUUUUCCCAUCAGGGAAACGUCAUACAUACCCUCACAUUGUGAUGUGAGGUCAUGAGACUGUGGACCCCCUGAGAGCAGGAAUAGGUCUUAACUUUCCUCAUCACCUGCCCUGCACCUGACACCGUGUUGGGCACACAGGAGGACUCUGAAAGGGACAGCCGGGCUGACCAGGCCCUCCGGGGCUGGAAUCGAGAGUGGACCAAAUUUAUAGAGACAAAAAGUAGGUUAGUGGCUGCUUAGGGCUCGGGGGUGGGGGAGGGAGGAGAGGUAGGGAGAUGAUAUGGUUUUCAUUUUUUUAAAAAUCAUGUUGAGUUACAAAAACACACAAUUUAGCAUUUUAACUAUUUUAGGGGUGCAGUUCAGUAGCAUUAAGUACAAACACAUUGGGCAACACGGGGCUUCUUUUUUGAGGUGAUAAAAUGUCCUCACACUCACUAGGGUGGGGAUACACUACUCUGAACCAAAAGCCGCUAAAGGAGCCCCCUAAGUGGGUGAAUUGUGUGAACUAAAUAUAUUAUAUGGCUAUCUUUCAAUAAAGCCACUACAUAAAAAAAAGGAGUGGACUGAAUUUCACUGCCUAGAUUGUGUUUUUCUGGGAGUUUUAUAAUGAGCAUAUAUGACCUCAGUAAGCAGAGAAACUGUAAAGAGUCUACAUUUUUCUAUAGCCUUUAAAAAAAAAUGUUUAUUUUUGAGAAAGAGAGAGAGACAGAGUGUGAGCAGGGGAGGGGCAGAGAGAGAGGGAGACACAGAAUCCGAAGCAGG